CCACGCCGCUCUCCCGCCGGCCGCUGCUGCUCCGCGCGUCGACCACGGCUGCCCCGAGCGCCGCCACAGACACACGCUCCCUCGCGACCACGCCCGCCGGCAGCCGCGCGCGCCGCUGCCGCUGCAGCAGCCCGCGCCGGCUGCCGCCGCCCCAGCGCGCGGGCUGUGGCUGCUCGCACCGCCCCAAAGCAACAUUAUGGUCGGCAACGAAGCUCAUGAGCUUCGUCCGCUCAUUUUCAUCUCUCUUCCGCUUCCCUUCUGUUUGCUUCUCUCCUUUCACCAGCUUUCUAUUUUCUCCCUUUGGUAAUGGCGCAUCCAGCGAGCAGGAUGACCAUCCAGCGAGGGAAUGGCGCAGCCACCAUCCCAUCUCUGACAUUUACACGACCUAUAUGACAUGUUUAGUUAUUACCAAUGGCGUAGCCACCAGUAUGGCGAGCCAUGGCGGCCGCCAUACCUGGCCGGCGACGAAUCCUCCGCCCCUCCCGCCGGCGGCCAGAGUACCUGCGCCAUGCGGAGCCAGAGGCACAGGCAGUCUGUUCGCCCGUUUGGAGCCUGGAGGAAGAAGAUAUCAAGAUAACGCUUUGAUUUUGGGUGGUAGGAAGUUGGGCCGUUAGUCAAUCAAACUCAAGUGUCAGCCCAUCACAAAUUCAAAAGCCCACUGGCCACUUCACAAGACGAACCGUCAGUGCCGGAUAGAGGCGCCGCCAAGCCGACGCGUCGUCGACACGCCACAACGUUCGAACCCUCUCCUUUCCUCUGCUACAGUUGGGAGAGGCGAAAAGGAGGCUGCCCGUGCUCCCGCCGGCGAGGCCGCUGAUCUCCCCCGUCUCUAGUGGCCUUCUAGGCCUCGGAUGUGAGGGGGAUCUCCGGUUCUCAGCCCGGUGGUGUAGAUUAGGUACUAGCUUGUCUAGGUUUGUGUUUCCAGUCGUCGACGGCGAGGCGGCGGCGGCGGCGGCGGCGUGGAAUAAGUCCCUCCAACCUUGUCCCCGUCUCGGUGGCGCGUGCUCCGGCGCCGGCGAGAGGUUCGUGAGGGUGGAGUCUACGGGACCGGUGCGCGUUGCCUUGUCGAGGUUUGCUCUGGUUCUUGCUGGCUCCGGUAUAGGAUGCGCCUCGAAUCGUCAUCCAGGUAUGGACUGGGGGUUCGGCGAGAGAUGCAGAGAGUUGGCUGUCGGGUUGGUGGUUGCGCGGUGGAAGGGCCGUUGCUCCGUUCUUGCUGCUCGCCGGCAUGGACUGCGGUUCCUUGACCAGAGAAGCUCGGGGUGUGUCCCCGUCCGAUGUUCCACCUUGGUGUUUCUCUUUUGCGGAUCUUGUCAAAGCUUUCAAGCGAUGGGGCUUCUCCUGGUUUUGGUUGUGGUGAACUCGUCGUUUUCUUCCAGAACCCACGGUGGCUUCGGCGAUGGCGGAGGAGGCAGACAACGGCGACUGAUGUUCUUCCUGGCGGUUGCUUCUGGAAGACGACGACAGCACAGUGCGAUGGUUGAUCACACAAAAGAUCUUCAGGACCUCUUUGUAUUUUCUAUCUUUAGUAGGGUAUUUUGUGUAAAUUGCCAUGGACAGCUGGUGUCUCUGUAUCCUUCUAGGAGGUGCUUGUAUUCGGGUUGUACUCCGUACGUUUUCCUUACUGCAUAAUACAGGCAUCGUAUGUUAUCAAAAAAAAAAAAAAAGCCGACGCGUCGUCGCCCUCUUCCGGCUCGCCCCUCGCCCUUCUGCUCCGCUCGACGCGUCGGUUGGUCGCCCAGGCGCCCCCUCGGCCUACUCCAGGUUGCUUCGUGUCUCCGCCGGCGGCCAGCGCUGCACGGACGGGGAGUCGGGGAGCAACAGUGGUGCAGGGACAGCGGCCAGACGGCCAACCCAAGUGGUAUGCUUUUUCUGUCUUGAUCUUUCUCUGAGUUCAACGUGGAGAAGCUUGUCAAAUUGGCAAGGAUCUGAUGCUGAUUUCUCCGAUGAUGAUCUUUCGAAUAUAAAGGAUCAACUUGCAAUUGAAACCUUUAUUCUUCGUGUUAGAAGAGUUGAUGACUUUACUGGUUGCUGUGAUUUUGAGAGUUUUGCAGUGAAGAUGGUUGAAACUAAAAGACAUAGGAUGUUUCCAUUGGUCUAUCGUCUAGUUGAACUAGCACUGCUCCUUCCAGUCGCAACAACAUAUGUGGAAAGAGUCUUUGUGGUUAUGCAAAUUAUAAAAACCGAACGACGCAAUAAGAUUAGACUAGCUCAAUGAUUUAAUAAUAUGCUACAACAAGAAGGAGAUAUUUAAAGAACUUGAUGAGAAAGCAAUCAUGAAGCGCUUUCAAGCCUUGAAACAUCGGAGGAUGAAUCUUCCUCGGCUAGCUCGUCGCACUUAGUGCUUGUACGAUAUGUUUAUCUAAUCGUCUACUUACCAAUGCCCAAUAUUUUCAUACAAUUUGCGACUCAUGAGUUGAUAUAUAGUAAAUUUAUGCAUAUUCGAUGAUUAUAUUUUUUACACAAAUGAGUGGUGGUAGGUUCGCCAUAGGUAGAUUUUAAUCCUGGCUCCGCCACUGGUUAUUACCCAAAUGUUCUGGACAUAUCUCGAAACUAAGCAUUGGAACCCAAGCUCUGGCACGAUGAAAGCUAUUCUAGGCUAGGCCUUUGGGAUGCAAACUUCCGUCAGUUAAUUAAUUUCAAUGCUAAAUUAAAUUCAAUGAGUAAUAAAGAACUGAAGAAUGACCGCACAUGUUCUUGGAAUUCCGUCAGUUGAUAGAAUUGUGCAAUCAUGUGUUCCCAUUCAAGGAUUGAUGGGUUAUCCCUGCAAAUGUUGCACUCGAUCAGACGAUUUGGUCUGCAAUGUGUUCCCAUUUCUGCUUUACAUGGUCAGUCACUUAUCAUUUUUUUAAUGAAAGAUGGUUUAUUUAUUCCAACUUCGAGGUUUCCAUGCUUCAAAUGAAAGUGUAUGGUGAGCUUACAAAAAACUCUAAUCUCAGUAGGUGAGCUCAAUAGUGUCUUGUCAGCAAUUUUUUUUUCCUAUUCUCUGAUCCAAAUACAAAACAUAGCAGACACAUGGACAACCGCUACACUUGCGAGGGUUUCAGUGUCCUUCCCACCUGCAGGUAUCACUUGUGCUCUUGUUUCAGUUUUGUGCUCUUGUCCAAAACAUUGUAUAAGCAGUUGUCCUAAUGUAAUUCAGAAUGUCACCCGGACAAAAUCCCUAAUCUAACUCAGAAUGUCACCCGGACAAAAAUCUCAAGAGGUGUACUGAAUGAGGAAACAGAGGUGCUGAUGUUUGAGGCUUACAGGCUUCCAAAAAUCUGAAAUGCACCUUUGAUCAUCUCUGCUGGUAGUUUUCUGGAUGUUCUCGCUCACAGGUAGCAGCAUGAUGCUGCACAUAUAUAAUUUUUCUGUAUCUUCAGUACCUGAUUUUUUUGGCUAUUAGAUAUGAGCUGUCUGAAAGUGUUAAAUGCUGUGUUUGAUCCCUGAUUGUUUUUUUUUUCAAUUUGAUGGUUGCAGCAUCAGGUGGCUGACGGCCACUAGCUAGCAUUCCCAUUUCCAUGGCUCCCUCUCCAAGCACCAGGUCAAGCUCAAGCCUCCAGCAAGCUGCAAGCAGCAAAGACAGUAACGAGGCAACAAGUUAACUUAGUGGAAAGUUGGUUUGUUUUGAAUUCUAUGUUUUUUCUAUACUCUGAUGGCUUCUAUGCUUUCAUCAGCUAUGUUUGAAUAGGAACGACAGAGUGUUAGUGGUGUUAAGUGAAUAACAUUAGUCACUCCUAUUUUGACAAACUAUCAUCGGCUGAUGAAAGCACACUUGAUUACAUAUGCUCUAUGGAUGUGGUUGUUAAGAUCAACAAAAUAACUCUAUGUUACAUAUUCUUUGUGUGAAAUAUAUAUUUCUUAUUUUGAACUA